GGUUAAGCGACUAAGCGUACACGGUGGAUGCCCUGGCAGUCAGAGGCGAUGAAGGACGUGCUAAUCUGCGAUAAGCGUCGGUAAGGUGAUAUGAACCGUUAUAACCGGCGAUUUCCGAAUGGGGAAACCCAGUGUGAUUCGUCACACUAUCAUUAACUGAAUCCAUAGGUUAAUGAGGCGAACCGGGGGAACUGAAACAUCUAAGUACCCCGAGGAAAAGAAAUCAACCGAGAUUCCCCCAGUAGCGGCGAGCGAACGGGGAGCAGCCCAGAGCCUGAAUCAGUGUGUGUGUUAGUGGAAGCGUCUGGAAAGGCGCGCGAUACAGGGUGACAGCCCCGUACACAAAAAUGCACAUGCUGUGAGCUCGAUGAGUAGGGCGGGACACGUGGUAUCCUGUCUGAAUAUGGGGGGACCAUCCUCCAAGGCUAAAUACUCCUGACUGACCGAUAGUGAACCAGUACCGUGAGGGAAAGGCGAAAAGAACCCCGGCGAGGGGAGUGAAAAAGAACCUGAAACCGUGUACGUACAAGCAGUGGGAGCCUCUUAAUGGGGUGACUGCGUACCUUUUGUAUAAUGGGUCAGCGACUUAUAUUCUGUAGCAAGGUUAACCGAAUAGGGGAGCCGAAGGGAAACCGAGUCUUAACUGGGCGUUAAGUUGCAGGGUAUAGACCCGAAACCCGGUGAUCUAGCCAUGGGCAGGUUGAAGGUUGGGUAACACUAACUGGAGGACCGAACCGACUAAUGUUGAAAAAUUAGCGGAUGACUUGUGGCUGGGGGUGAAAGGCCAAUCAAACCGGGAGAUAGCUGGUUCUCCCCGAAAGCUAUUUAGGUAGCGCCUCGUGAAUUCAUCUCCGGGGGUAGAGCACUGUUUCGGCAAGGGGGUCAUCCCGACUUACCAACCCGAUGCAAACUGCGAAUACCGGAGAAUGUUAUCACGGGAGACACACGGCGGGUGCUAACGUCCGUCGUGAAGAGGGAAACAACCCAGACCGCCAGCUAAGGUCCCAAAGUCAUGGUUAAGUGGGAAACGAUGUGGGAAGGCCCAGACAGCCAGGAUGUUGGCUUAGAAGCAGCCAUCAUUUAAAGAAAGCGUAAUAGCUCACUGGUCGAGUCGGCCUGCGCGGAAGAUGUAACGGGGCUAAACCAUGCACCGAAGCUGCGGCAGCGACACUAUGUGUUGUUGGGUAGGGGAGCGUUCUGUAAGCCUGCGAAGGUGUACUGUGAGGUAUGCUGGAGGUAUCAGAAGUGCGAAUGCUGACAUAAGUAACGAUAAAGCGGGUGAAAAGCCCGCUCGCCGGAAGACCAAGGGUUCCUGUCCAACGUUAAUCGGGGCAGGGUGAGUCGACCCCUAAGGCGAGGCCGAAAGGCGUAGUCGAUGGGAAACAGGUUAAUAUUCCUGUACUUGGUGUUACUGCGAAGGGGGGACGGAGAAGGCUAUGUUGGCCGGGCGACGGUUGUCCCGGUUUAAGCGUGUAGGCUGGUUUUCCAGGCAAAUCCGGAAAAUCAAGGCUGAGGCGUGAUGACGAGGCACUACGGUGCUGAAGCAACAAAUGCCCUGCUUCCAGGAAAAGCCUCUAAGCAUCAGGUAACAUCAAAUCGUACCCCAAACCGACACAGGUGGUCAGGUAGAGAAUACCAAGGCGCUUGAGAGAACUCGGGUGAAGGAACUAGGCAAAAUGGUGCCGUAACUUCGGGAGAAGGCACGCUGAUAUGUAGGUGAAGUCCCUCGCGGAUGGAGCUGAAAUCAGUCGAAGAUACCAGCUGGCUGCAACUGUUUAUUAAAAACACAGCACUGUGCAAACACGAAAGUGGACGUAUACGGUGUGACGCCUGCCCGGUGCCGGAAGGUUAAUUGAUGGGGUUAGCGGUAACGCGAAGCUCUUGAUCGAAGCCCCGGUAAACGGCGGCCGUAACUAUAACGGUCCUAAGGUAGCGAAAUUCCUUGUCGGGUAAGUUCCGACCUGCACGAAUGGCGUAAUGAUGGCCAGGCUGUCUCCACCCGAGACUCAGUGAAAUUGAACUCGCUGUGAAGAUGCAGUGUACCCGCGGCAAGACGGAAAGACCCCGUGAACCUUUACUAUAGCUUGACACUGAACAUUGAGCCUUGAUGUGUAGGAUAGGUGGGAGGCUUUGAAGUGUGGACGCCAGUCUGCAUGGAGCCGACCUUGAAAUACCACCCUUUAAUGUUUGAUGUUCUAACGUUGGCCCCUGAUCGGGGUUGCGGACAGUGUCUGGUGGGUAGUUUGACUGGGGCGGUCUCCUCCUAAAGAGUAACGGAGGAGCACGAAGGUUGGCUAAUCCUGGUCGGACAUCAGGAGGUUAGUGCAAUGGCAUAAGCCAGCUUGACUGCGAGCGUGACGGCGCGAGCAGGUGCGAAAGCAGGUCAUAGUGAUCCGGUGGUUCUGAAUGGAAGGGCCAUCGCUCAACGGAUAAAAGGUACUCCGGGGAUAACAGGCUGAUACCGCCCAAGAGUUCAUAUCGACGGCGGUGUUUGGCACCUCGAUGUCGGCUCAUCACAUCCUGGGGCUGAAGUAGGUCCCAAGGGUAUGGCUGUUCGCCAUUUAAAGUGGUACGCGAGCUGGGUUUAGAACGUCGUGAGACAGUUCGGUCCCUAUCUGCCGUGGGCGCUGGAGAACUGAGGGGGGCUGCUCCUAGUACGAGAGGACCGGAGUGGACGCAUCACUGGUGUUCGGGUUGUCAUGCCAAUGGCACUGCCCGGUAGCUAAAUGCGGAAGAGAUAAGUGCUGAAAGCAUCUAAGCACGAAACUUGCCCCGAGAUGAGUUCUCCCUGACUCCCUGAGAGUCCUGAAGGAACGUUGAAGACGACGACGUUGAUAGGCCGGGUGUGUAAGCGCAGCGAUGCGUUGAGCUAACCGGUACUAAUGAACCGUGAGGCUUAACCUU
rnacentral:rRNA from 1 species